rnacentral:rRNA from 1 species
CACGUAGGGCGCAAGCGUUGUCCGGAAUUAUUGGGCGUAAAGAGCUCGUAGGCGGUCUGUUGCGUCCGCUGUGAAAACCCGGGGCUUAACCCCUGGCUUGCAGUGGAUACGGACAGACUAGAGGUAGGUAGGGGAGAAUGGAAUUCCCGGUGUAGCGGUGAAAUGCGCAGAGAUCGGGAGGAACACCCGUAGCGAAGGCGGCACUCUGGGCCGGUACUGACGCUGAGGAGCGAAAGCGUGGGGAGCAAACAGG